ensembl:lncRNA
ACAUUGUUUGAAGUCAUUACACACAGAGGAGCUGAAGCCUGGUGUUGUGCUCCAGCAACUGAGUGAGCAACAUGAUGCUGCAGGAAUGAGAUGGAGAGAAGGAGAUGCUGAUGACAGUACAGGACUUACUAAUUCCCCCCAGAUGUAGAGAAACCACGAGGUAUUUCUGCCCCAGCCAAACCCAGGAGAUCCCUCGGCAUCAUAAGCUUGCUCUCGGCCCAGCAGUGUGUCCUGGCUGUUGUGCAACACUGCUCUCUAUGUGACACCUGUAGCGAGUGGAGUGAGUUGCUAUCACUGGGUACUUUGUAAAGCUCUGUGGGAUGCCCGAGGUUGCCAGUGGCUGUACACAAGCAAGAGCUUAAUGUUGCUGGAACACCGCCUGCAAACGAUGGUUGCUAGGAGGAGUUUCACCGGGAUGAGAAACAUAUUGCAAAACUACUUAAAACAGUAUUUUCAGCACCUCCAGAAACUCCCUGAUGGGAUUUCAAAGUCUUUGCUCACUACAGAGAUAUUUACACCCACUCCAGUCCUCCAGAGAAGAAUCAUUUCCUCAGGUUUUGACUGUGCUCAAUAAAAAGAGUACAUGUCUUUUGUUAGUGAAAAAAAAAACAAAAAACAUCGCAAUUUCCCCAGACAAGAAGAGAGUUGCUGUGAUCCUCACCUACUGAACGCUGAUGUGGCUCUAAGCAAUGUCAUAUAGCUUAUCCACCACCAGGGAGCAUUCCCCUCAUCUGUGAAAAAAAAACAUGGUUAAUUUUUUCUUCUCCAACCAAAAACUGGUCAAGGACAACUACUUAGAAAAGCACCAAAAUGCAAUUCCUUCUCUCAAUAAAACCUUCCAAGCUACAAAUAUUUGCCCCCCUAAGAUGACUGAAGUUGUGGGGUCCUCAAAAAUUGAAUCUGCACUGCGUGGGUGGGGAAUUGAACCACAAAACUCAGCUCACCUGUGUGGGACUGAGAGCCACAGGUGUUACAAACUCCUUGCACAGUUCCCAGCCCCCUGCAGUCAUCGCUUCUGUAUGUUGCCAUGGGCUGCUCUGAAGCUCCUGUCCUUCACCUGGGGUUUGGCCAGGUGUGACAAUCAGCCAGCAGAGCCGUUAUCUUGCUAAAUCAAUAAAGUGACAAACUUCAAACAGGCCAUUAUAAAUAUUAGCAGAUCAUUGAGAAUUUUUAUGGAUGAGAACAAGGAAAGUUAAUUUUUAGUGAUCUCAGAUCCAAGGAAUCCACUUCUGGAGACAUCUAAUGUCUCAGUGACAGAAGACACAAACCUCUGCCUCUAACAGUCCAGUAUCAUGAUCCAUAUUCCUAACAGAUGAUGGAUGGAGAUGUUGCAAGCUCUUCUGGGGCUCUGGAUGCUGAGCAAAGCCUGUUGUCCUCCAAACCAAACUGCUGCCAGCCAAAGAAAAGUUAUAAGUGGCAAAGCAAAAGCUACUAAAUAAGAAUUUAAUUUAGAUUGAUUAAGAUAGCUAUUACACGUCAAUUCAUUUAAAUACAAAUGGAUUAUUUGGAAUGUGAUUAUUGAAGAUUAACGGCUCCUGCACACAAUAUAAAUACGUAGCUAAUUAUAAAGUCAAGCAGUCAUUAUUAAUAUUUCUAACGAUCAAUUUGUAUUCAAACAACAUAAAAUCACCAAUUCUGUGUCUUCUGCAGUCAUGGUAAUUGGGAAAAGAGGCCAUGAUCUAUGCAGAAAUCAAUGGGCUGCUGAGUGCCUGGCUGAAGGCAGAGCUGUGGAGCUGAGUUUUCCGAGACACACAACAAAACUGGGAGCUCAGAUCAAGCAGAAGGAGUUAUUUUUGUUAUAUUUUGGUUAUAUUUGUUGUUCUUCUGUAAGCACAGCCAGAGAGAGACUAAAUGAAAAGAUCACCAAAAUGCUUGCUGCAGUCUGUAGGUAGACGUGGGUCUAAAAGAGCACAUGCUCUGAGCACAAAGAUGCACUGUAAUACAACACCAAGCUAUCAGACAGGUGAUAGGAUGAGCACUCCCUGCGUGCAGAUGAGAUGUUCUCAAUUAGACAUGCCUAAAUGCAAUAGACCUCCACAGAAAGACAGCCCAGUAAUAAUUUCCAUUCUGAACGUCAGUUGAAAGAGCAGCAAUGAUUUAAUACAGAGCACUGGCAAUUCUGCACACCAUACUGUCUUGCUGCUGGGCCACUGUUAGAAGAGACAGUUGGACCAUACAAGCAUUUUGCUUUCAACUUGCUGCCUUCAAGAGGGAGCUAGCAAAUCAGCCCAUUGUCAUAGAGCUGAAAUGCAUCCUCUUGGUUCUGGUUUGACUUUUACAUGCGUGUACAAAUAACAAUUUCUGCAUUGGUUUUAUUAUGCAAAGCAGUGGUGGGUUUUUUUUAAUGUUUCAUUUUUUUAGGUAGGAUAUUUUGAGCAGACUUUUUCGGGACUCAGUGACAGCCUGGGCUCUCUCACGCCACAGUUUAAUGUACAAACAGUGGUUUGCAAUAGGAUGCUCAGUCCAGCACAUAAGCAAGGAAAGGCUUUCCAUUUUGCUGGUAAAUCUGUUCAGCUUCUUCAUCUGGAAAGAGCUGAAUGCAGCAUACAAAAAAGCAGAAUGAUUCCUCGCAGCUGGUUGAGGGGGCUUUUUGCUGCUCCUUGCAGGAACCACUGGGUUUGUGAUGUAGGGAUUUGUGAAUCUUGGUUGUUUUGCAAGAAAAGAAACUUCCCCUAAAAGUUGCCAGCACUUUUGGUUUUAUUCCAAAUCAAGAACUGGCAUCUCCCCAGCUCUAAUUAACAGCGGCUAUUUUUUGCCAUCUCCAGCAGCAAAAACACGACCAUUGCCCCCAUUGCACAGAAAAGAAAAAAAGAAAAAAAGAAAAAAAAUCACACUGACCUUAAUAUAUUUCUUUUUCCAGUGCAAAAUAAAUGCUGUACU